rnacentral:precursor_RNA from 1 species
GAGGACCGUAUUCAUGGAAGAGGAUUGAACAGAGAUGAAGUAGACAGUAUGUUGGAUAAAUCUGGAGUAAAGAACCCAGCAAUUGGUAAAGAUGAGAAUAUAUCGCCUCAAGUAAAAGGAGAUGAAGACAUGGGAGAUGAAAUUGACAGUAUGUUGGCUACAUCUGGAGGUCUUUUCUCCUGAGAACACGGGACUCCAGCAUCUUCGGAUUCUGCUCUUGGAGGUGUGAGUCCCUGCCUCUCUGCACAGGGGAACUUAUGUCUCUCCACAUGUCCGCAAAUGUCUACCCAAGAUUAUACAUCUUCCAAAGGCUUUCAAAUACUUCUUUACAUAAACAAGGGGUUUGCCCCACAUCCUCUAUAUUGCAGAAAACAAGACUAGGCUCUACCUCUGUAGAUCAAGCACGACUGAAAUCCGUGCUCUCAAAAGAUGCUGGGGAGAAAGAGUGCCAUUCUUCACAAAUGCUGGCUGUGUUCACCUGCACACAUCGCUGCAUCAUUGGACUGAAAGUGAAUGGCCCAUGUGUUGCCACUGAUGUGAGCCAUUUGCCUGUUGUGCUUCA